CAGCCGCCGCGGUAAUACGUAGGUGGCAAGCGUUGUCCGGAUUUAUUGGGCGUAAAGCGAGCGCAGGCGGUCAAUUAAGUCUGAUGUGAAGGCCCCCGGCUCAACCGGGGAGGGUCGUUGGAAACUGGGAAACUUGAGUGCAGAAGAGGAGAGUGGAAUUCCACGUGUAGCGGUGAAAUGCGUAGAGAUGUGGAGGAACACCAGUGGCGAAGGCGACUCUCUGGUCUGUAACUGACGCUGAGGAGCGAAAGCGUGGGGAGCGAACAGGAUUAGAUACCCGCGUAGUCCCUGUCUCUUAUAC
rnacentral:rRNA from 1 species